UUCUCACAAAAAAUGGGAAUGGAGGCUGGAAGUCCAAGAUCAAGGGGCCAGCCAACCCGCUCACUGGUGGGAGCUCUCCUCCUGGCUCGCAGUCCACAGGCCCAUUGAUCCGGAGGAACUGUACAGGAAGAGCUGUAGGUGAGAAAUUCACCCAAGGAGCGAUUAGAUGACAAGGCGCAGGACUUCAAGUUGAUGCCGCAAUGUAAUGAGACUUGAGGGCCAUGGAAAGGGGACAGUCCAAUGUCGGUGUCCCGGUCCGCAAGCAGGCUUCCCUCACGUGGAAAUCCAGGGCUGCGUCUUUUGGCUCCAUAACCCGUGGGAUCUCAGGCUUCUGCAUCCAGCUCGUG